rnacentral:rRNA from 1 species
GACGAACCGUGCGAACGUUGUUCGGAAUUACUGGGCGUAAAGGGUCUGUAGGUGGCCAACUAAGUCAGACGUGAAAUCCCUCAGCUUAACUGGGGAACUGCGUCUGAUACUGGAUGGCUCGAGUGUGGGAGAGGAAUGCGGAAUUCCAGGUGUAGCGGUGAAAUGCGUAGAUAUCUGGAGGAACACCGGUGGCGAAGGCGGCAUUCUGGACCACAACUGACACUGAGAGACGAAAGCCAGGGGAGCAAACGGG